AUUGAACGCUGGCGGAAUGCUUUACACAUGCAAGUCGAACGGCAGCACGGACUUCGGUCUGGUGGCGAGUGGCGAACGGGUGAGUAAUGUAUCGGAACGUGCCCAGUCGUGGGGGAUAACGUAGUGAAAAUUACGCUAAUACCGCAUACGAUCUAUGGAUGAAAGCGGGGGAUCGCAAGACCUCGCGCGAUUGGAGCGGCCGAUAUCAGAUUAGGUAGUUGGUGGGGUAAAGGCCCACCAAGCCAACGAUCUGUAGCUGGUCUGAGAGGACGACCAGCCACACGGGAACUGAGACCCGGUCCAGACUCCUACGGGAGGCAGCAGUGGGGAAUUUUGGACAAUGGGCGAAAGCCUGAUCCAGCCAUUCCGCGUGCAGGAUGAAGGCCCUCGGGUUGUAAACUGCUUUUGUACAGAACGAAAAGGUUUCUACUAAUACUAGGAGCUCAUGACGGUACUGUAAGAAUAAGCACCGGCUAACUACGUGCCAGCAGCCGCAGUAA
rnacentral:rRNA from 1 species